rnacentral:rRNA from 1 species
GUGCACCAGUCGCGAAACCUUCGCAAUGCAGGAAACUGCGACGAGGGAACUCCAAGUGCCUACGCUCAGCGUAGGCUGUUCUCAAGCCUAGAAAAGCUUGAGGAGUAAGGGCUGGGUAAGACGGGUGCCAUCUGUGGUAGCAGUCAAUAGAUUCGAUUUGUUACUGCAAGGCAUAAGCCGCCGCGGUAAUACCCGCAGCCCAAGUGGUGGCCGCUUUUAUUGGGCCUAAAGCGUCCGUAGCCGGCCCGGUAAAUGCCUGGGUAAAUCGUGGAGCCCAACUUCACGAAUUCCGGGUAGACUGCCGAGCUCGGGACCGGAAGAGGGAGAGGGUACUUCAGGGGUAGGGGUGAAAAUUUCCUUUCCAUUAACGCUUUGCGCGAAGCGGAAAGGGUUAUCACAAUCCU